UUAAUAAUAAUAAUAAAUAGUGACAGACAUAUCCUCUUCUUCCAUUUCUACUCUAUUCAACAAAAGUUACUGUAAUGUUAGCUUUUAGACACAACAAAGCUGCAUGGGGGAAUUUACUUAGGCCAGACUUUGCUCCUGAUGAGUUCUUCUGUAAGCAAUGACUUGAAUGCUAUCUGUCUGCUCAUGUAAAUGUGUGAUAAAGU